CAAUAGCGUAUAUUUAAGUUGUUGCAGUUAAAAAGCUCGUAGUUGGAUUUCGGAUGGGACUUGCCGGUCCGUCGUUACGAUGUGCACUGGCCAGUCCUAUCUUGUUGUCGGGGACUAGCUCCUUGGAUUCACUUCCUGGGACUAGGAGCUGACGAGGUUACUUUGAGUAAAUUAGAGUGUUCAAAGCAAGCCUACGCUCUGAAUACAUUAGCAUGGAAUAACACGAUAGGACUCUGGCUUAUCUUGUUGGUCUGUGAGACCAGAGUAAUGAUUAAGAGGGACAGUCGGGGACAUUCGUAUUUCAUUGUCAGAGGUGAAAUUCUUGGAUUUAUGAAAGACGAACUUCUGCGAAAGCAUUUGUCAAGGAUGUUUUCAUUAA
rnacentral:rRNA from 1 species